CACUUCAGAUGUGCCUGCUUCCCCUUCUGCCGUGAUUGUACAUUUCCUGAGGCCUCCGCAAGCAUGUGGAAUGACACCCCUGCUAGAAUCUAUGAAUUCAGAAAGAAAAGGACUGUCCUCUGUGCUUCAGGAAUAUUCAUACAAGGAAGUCACGAUUCUCUACCUCUGCUGUAUAAUAACACCUGUCAGUGUCUAAGUCAAUGCUGGAGGAAUAGCAUUUAAAAAUUGAAGAUUUCCACAAUUGCUUCAAAUUACCUUAAAGAAUAUUUUGUAUGAAUGAUGGAUAACAGAACCAGAGACUGGGAACAUGGAGGCCAAGGGGGAACUCCUCGGGAGCUGCAACUGACACACAAAGGAAAUUUUAAGCAAGGCAGUGGAAAUGAG